rnacentral:misc_RNA from 1 species
GAUGAAGAACGUAGCGAAAUGCGAUACGUAAUGUGAAUUGCAGAAUUCAGUGAAUCAUCGAAUCUUUGAACGCAUAUUGCGCUCUUUGGUAUUCCGAAGAGCAUGCUUGUUUGAGUAUCAGUAAACACCUCAAAGCUUUUGGAUUUUUUAAUCGAAAAGCUUUGGACUUGAGCAAUCCCAACACCAAUCUUUUUGAGAUCGGUGGCGGGUUGCUUGAAAUGCAGGUGCAGCUGGACAUUCUCCUGAGCUAAAAGCAUAUUCAUUUAGUCCCGUCAAACGGAUUAUUACUUUUGCUGCAGCUAACAUAAAGGGAGUUUGACCGUAUUGGCUGACUGAUGCAGGAUUUCACAAGGGUCGGCAACGAUUCUUGUUAAACUCGAUCUAAAAUCAAGUAAGACUACCCGCUGAACUUAAGCAUAUCAAUAAGCGGAGGA